rnacentral:rRNA from 1 species
UCGGGAAUUUUGGGCAAUGGGCGAAAGCCUGACCCAGCAACGCCGCGUGAGGGAUGAAGUAUUUCGGUAUGUAAACCUCGAAAGAAUGGGAAGAAUAAAUGACGGUACCAUUUAUAAGCGCCGGCUAACUACGUGCCAGCAGCCGCGGUAAUACGUAGGGAGCAAGCGUUGUUCGGAUUUACUGGGCGUAAAGGGCGCGUAGGCGGCGCGGUAAGUCACUUGUGAAAUCUCUGAGCUUAACUCAGAACGGCCAAGUGAUACUGCUGUGCUAGAGUGCGGAAGAGGCAACCGGAAUUCUUGGUGUAGCGGUGAAAUGCGUAGAUAUCAAGAGGAACACCUGAGGCGAAGGCGGGUUGCUGGGCCGACACUGACGCUGAUGCGCGAAAGCCAGGGGAGCAAAC